rnacentral:rRNA from 1 species
AGGGUGUAAACGCUGCAGACUUGGUGUUGGAAGUCCUUUGGGGGCAUUCAGUGCCGGAGAGAAGUUGUUAAGUCUGCUACUUGGGGAGUACGUCCGCAAGGAUGAAACUUAAAGGAAUUGGCGGGGGGAGCACCGCAACGGGAGGAGCGUGCGGUUUAAUUGGAUUCAACACCGUAAACUCACCAGGGAAGACUGUUACAUGGAAGCCGAGAUGAAGACUCUGCUAGAUUUUCAGAGAGGAGGUGCAUGGCGUCAGUGACU